UCCAAGUGCUCUGAAUGUCAAAGUGAAGAAAUUCAAUCAAGCGUGGGUAAACGGCGAGGGUAACUAUGACACACCGUCGAAAAAUUAGUUCAUCCUUCUAAUGAA
rnacentral:ncRNA from 1 species